UAUUUCAUAUCUAGGUCCAUAAAUGCCCUGACUGACCCAAAUCAAGACACACGCCGAUUUCAAACCGGACGAGGUCACGAUUCUUAAGUAGCCGACGACGAGUGCAGGUUGCGAAAUUGAUACACGCCACCCACGAGUCUCCGUGCAGGCACGCAUAUAUCCGCAAUACGUAGACAUACGUAUGUAUAUACAUACAUUGAUACGUAGGUGCGGAUUUAUCUGCAUCCACAACCGACCGCCGAUUCCACACGUGGCUGUAUCUGCACACAUGGGUCAAUCCGCUUGACAUACAAGCACAUCGUAUAGACAAUCAUAAACGAAACUUUUCAACGACGAUGCGGCAUCCGCAUGCAGGUAAUUAACGAGCGCAAACGUCUUGAGAACCUGCAAUGCGAAACCUUCGACGUGGGCGAAUUCCGUUUUUGGUACAUCUUAUGUACAGCUUUCACUGCCUUCCAAAUUGAAUCGUGUACUUUUUGCACUGUUAGUAGGAAAUGUUGAUAACCUGGAGACUUAGCUUAAGAACGAGGAAGUGUGUGUUUUUUUUUUUUUUGUUUUUCUUUUUGCGAAAUAAAUUGAAUUUCGCGUAUACGGAAUCAACGUCUUCCUACACGCGUCUAUUUUGUAAUUAACGUUUAAGCUUUUGGUUGAAGACAUUGCGAAUAUUAAUCAUAGCUCAGAAUACUGAGUGUCGAGGAAGAACCUCAUCAACAUCCAAUUAGUCACACAUCAGGCCAAACGAGCCAUCUCCGUGCAGAGUUA
rnacentral:lncRNA from 1 species